UUUUUGUACAGGUUCUCCUGGGUUGACACAGUCUGCUCUGCUAUGUGAAGCCUAUAAGAAACCAUGUGUACAGGGAUUAACUUUAGCAAGCAGCAGAAACCAUAACACAACAGUGGCACAUUGAAAUUACCCCACUGCAUGAUUCAUAUUUAAAAUCAAUAUUAUUUUGAGUCACGCAUUUAAUAAAGAAGCGAGUCGACGGCGUUUCCUAACGGAGCCAUUACACGAUGGAGCGGAUUUUAUCCUCACCGCGGGCCAUUUAAUUCUAGUCUCGCCGUGACGUCACUCCCCGUGUCUGACGGAUUUCUCGGCUGCGUGGAGCGCGUGGUCGCGAGCACAUGGAAAUGAGGUGGAGAUCUGGGUCUGAAAGACGCGCAAGUGAUCAUCCGAAAAAUGGAAUAUAAUAUAUAUAGCAACCGAAUGAUCCGACCCCACCUGUGAAAGAUAUCCUGAACGGCCAGGAGUCGGUUUCAAGCGAUGUGCUGUGCUGCAAAUCAGACCACACUCGGUCGGGACUCGCGGCUGUGGGCAGAACGGUUCCCCGUACCGGGCCGUGAUGCUGGCACCAGCCGGGCAGUUGGUGCAGGCCCAUGCGUUCCACCCAUCAACCUCUCCAUCCCUCCAGCUCUCGAUCCCCCUCCUCCAUCUAUGCCCCUUCAAUCCAUCCCUUCACCGCUCUUCCCCUUUCACCUCUCCAUCUCUCCCCUCUCCUCCACCCCCUUCCCAUGUGCCACCCCUCGCGCCGCCCCCUCCAUCCCUCCGACCUUGUCAAGUUGGCCGGAGGCGGCAGCCGUACCAGGACUCCAGAUAUGGAUCUGAAAUGAAGAUGUGUACUGGCGGCGGCACACACCCCCACACACACACACACACACACGUGCGUGCACACACUCACGCUCACACUCGUGCUCAUGCUCACACUCACACUCACGCUCACACUCACACACACAGUGGCUGCACGGAUGUUGACUUAUAGAUACUUCCUUAUUUUACUCUCUCCUGAGAGCGGCCCCUUGGGAGACGAUGCAGUGGGGAAGUACCUAGCCUUCCAACAGUCACAGUGUGGUGGGGCCUCAGAGAGACACCUUAAAGGGGAGCUGUCGAGGCUGAAGUAGAGGCUAAAGUAGAGCUGAAAGAAGAGACUGAAGAAGACUAGAGCCUAAAGUUCUAGAGACAACAGUAGAGACAAAGACGACUAGUCUGGAGCUCUAGGGACAACAGUAGAGACUAAAGACGACUAGGGUAAAGCUCUAGAGACUACAGUAGAGCCUUAAGAAGACUAGAGUCUAAAGCUCUAGAGACUACAAUAGACUAAAGAAGACUAGAUCCAGAAGCUCUAGAGACAACAGUAGAGACUAAAGACGACUAGUCUAAAGCUCUAGAGACUACAGUAGAGACUAAAGCCGACUAGAGUAAAACUCUACAGACAACAAUAGAGGCUAAAGACGACUAGAGUCUAAAGCUCUAGAGACUCUAUCUCUAGAGACUUAAUUUGUCUGUAGCAGAGACUGAAGUAGAGUCAAAAGGCUGCAGUAAAACCAGAGCAGCGUGUGCUGUAGAGGCUGGAGUAGAGACUACAGCAGAGAAUGAGUUUGAGGUACAGAGACUGAUUUUGCCAUACAACUGUCUGAAGUUAAGGUUUACUGUAGUAUUGCAUAGCUGUGCUGUUAAUGAUGUCAAAGUCCAUUCAAAGCUCAUUCCAUUGAUAAUAACGGAAACAACUUGAAACAACAUCCCUCAGCUUGAGGAAUGUAGCCAUCAUUUAUGCACACUUCCCUAUCGACAAUGUACACACCUUUAUGUGUGUGUGUGUGUGUGUGUGUGUGUGUGUGUGUGUGUGUGUGUGUGUGUGUGUGUGUGUGUGUGUGUGUGUGUGUGUGUGUGUGUGUGUGUGUGUGAUGAUUGUAUUGUAUGUAUUAUCUGAUUUUAACAUUGAGUGCUGUAUAUGUCGAUAUACAAAUAAAAAUAUAUUUUGAU
ensembl:lncRNA